CCAGGACUAAGCAAGUCCAGCUCCUUCUCUAACUAACUAGUUAGGAGCAAGUUGGGCUCCUUCUCUAACUAACUAGUCGAGUUAGCAUUGGACUAACCAGGACUAAGCAAGUCCAGCUCCUCCUCUAACUAGUUGCCUUAGCAUUGGACUAACCAGGACUAAGCAAGUUCGGCUCCUUCUCUAACUAGCCGCCUUUCUAAGCCUCAGUCCUCCUCUCUGCUCUAAGGUCAUCGUGAAUUUAAACCUUCAAAGCUGUUGUCAUGGUCACAGAACAGGAUGCACACCCCUGGUGCUCAGCACGAGGUUAGAUCUGAAUUUGAUGAAGCCAGACCCCAGUGCUGAACCAUGAAGUCCCCCAGAUUCAGCUCCUGUUGUCAACAACUUUUCAACUUCACCUCCUACCUUCUCCUUACUUUGCCAUCUAUAUCAUCUUUCCAGCCAUACCAGGGUCCCACUCCUAGCCCUCUGCCGAUUGCUGGAACCUUUGAAUAGAUGCCCUUCCUCUCUGAUCUACAAAACCAGACUCAUCUCAUAUCCAGCAGCAAUAUGGCCUCCUUUCUCAUUUACCAUCCCCUGACUAUUGGCCAAUCCACUGUUUACUGAGACUCUUGGCCAAGUCAGUUCCACAAUGGGCACAGACCAAGGGCUCCUGAGCUUGGGUAGAUUCCAAGCUCAGUGGAGACAGGUAGUGGUAGCAGGAGGGAAGGGCUGACCUUGGUCUAGCCUUCAUGUUUCCCUGUACCACAGUCUGAACAUCCUUGGACCACUAGUCUCAUCUCUUUGUUGAGUCUCCACAAAGGCAGGGAUGAGGUCUGGUUCUCGUGUUCCAAUCGGUAAUUGGCCCAGGGAAGGUGCACAGAAAAAUGCUGAAGUCCACGAACUUGGGAUCUGAAUGUUUCCAAUAGGCCUUGUUUACUCAAAGCCUUACCAUUCCGUAUCAUUAAGAUAAUAAUAUCUUAUUCUCAUUGUAUAAUUGUAACACCCUUUCCAUAUUAUUUAGUUGAUCCAUAAGUACUUAAGUACAGUCAAUAAGAUAGGAACUGUCAAAAAAAAAAAAAAGAUAGGAACUGUCACCUUUUUCUUUCUGUCUCCCCUCUCCCCUCCAUCCUCCUAUUUCUUUUUUAAGACAGGGUCUCGUGUAGCCUUGGCGAGCUUCCAACUCACUUGAAGCUUCCAACUCCAACUUGAACUUCUGGAGGAGGGUUCCUCCCCACCUGCAAAGUGCUUGGAUUAUAAAAGGUAUGCAAACUAUGCCUGGCUCCCUACUUUGUGAUGAACAACUAGUGACUUACCCAAGAACACUUGACAAACUGAUAGAGGAGAGACCACACCUCAGACCUAGAGCCUUCCAGCUUAAUCUCUGCCCAUUGGACAGUAUUAGAGGUGAGUGAGUGAGCCAUGGUCCCAGGACAAGGCCUCCUCCACAGAAGACACUUCUAGAGCAAGGAUAUGCCAUACAGUGACCUGAGAUCUUCAUGUCAACACGAAAUUGUGUGUGUGUGUGUGUGUGUGUGUGUGUGUGUGUUUUGUUAGAUUCUAAACCUAGAGCCUUAUGUGUGCUAGACAACCAUCAGGAAGGAGGUUUCUCUCCAAUAAUCUACUGGCACUAUAGCACUCACAUAGUUGAACUCUUCUUUGUCCCCUCCCCCAAUAUAUUCCUGCUCUCUCCUCACAGUUGUCACCUAGCAUAACCUACCUCCUGAGUCUCCUGAGGACACAGUAUGCCACUAACCUCCCUCCAUUUCCUAAAAGGAUCCAGCUCUACCACUGAGCAUCAUCACAUGGUGAUCCCUUUGCCCUGGGAUAGUUUCCUUCUACUUUCUGGUUGACUCAGUUCUCAGGUUUGGAGCAUUUUCUCAAUGGGAUUUGUGCCCCACCCACCCAGCCACCCACCUACAUGUCUUUGAAGAAGUUAAACAACUGCAAGUGUUUCUAGGUUUCACUAAUGGCAUUUGUCACAUGCCCUGGUACUGAGACUCC
ensembl:lncRNA